rnacentral:tRNA from 1 species
GGAGAGAUGGGUGAGUGGCUGAAACCAACAGUUUGCUAAACUGUCGUACCGGUUCCGGUACCGCGAGUUCGAAUCUCGCUCUCUCCGCCA